GACGAACGCUGGCGGCGCGCUUAACACAUGCAAGUCGAACGGAAAGGCCUGCUUUCCCUUGUGGAUUGCGGGUACUCGAGUGGCGAACGGGUGAGUAACACGUGAGUGAUCUGCCCCCAACUUGGGUAUAAGCCUGGGAAACUGGGUCUAAUUCCCGAUAGGACUGCAGGGUGGUGCCUGUGGUGGAAAACGAUUUUCUAGUGGUUGGGGAUGAGCUCGCGGCCUAUCAGCUUGUUGGUGGGGUAAUGGCCUACCAAGGCGGCGACGGGUAGCCGGCCUGAGAGGGUGGACGGCCACAUUGGAACUGUGAUACGGCCCAGACUCCUACGGGAGGCAGCAGUGGGGAAUAUUGCACAAUGGGCGGAAGCCUGAUGCAGCGACGCCGCGUGGGGGAUGACGGCCUUCGGGUUGUAAACUCCUUUCGACCGCGAGGAAGCCACCUGGUUGGAAGGGUGGUGACGGUAGUGGUAGAAGAAGCACCGGCUAACUACGUG
rnacentral:rRNA from 1 species